rnacentral:rRNA from 1 species
GAUGAACGCUGGCGGCGUGCCUAAUACAUGCAAGUCGAGCGAACAGACGAGGAGCUUGCUCCUCUGACGUUAGCGGCGGACGGGUGAGUAACACGUGGAUAACCUACCUAUAAGACUGGGAUAACUUCGGGAAACCGGAGCUAAUACCGGAUAAUAUAUUGAACCGCAUGGUUCAAUAGUGAAAGACGGUUUUGCUGUCACUUAUAGAUGGAUCCGCGCCGCAUUAGCUAGUUGGUAAGGUAACGGCUUACCAAGGCAACGAUGCGUAGCCGACCUGGGAGGGUGGUCGGCCACACUGGAACUGAGACACGUUCCAGACUCCUACGGGAGGCAGCAGUAGGGAAUCUUCCGCAAUGGGCGAAAGCCUGACGGAGCAACGCCGCGUGAGUGAUGAAGGUCUUCGGAUCGUAAAACUCUGUUAUUAGGGAAGAACAAAUGUGUAAGUAACUAUGCACGUCUUGACGGUACCUAAUCAGAAAGCCACGGCUAACUACGUG